GUCAUUUCCUGUUAGAAACGGCUCAGCCUGGGCCAUUCUCUUUAGUGUUUGCCCUGUCUUCCUUUUACGAUUACAGCAAUAUUUAAAAGAAAAAGAACAGAAGACAAAAAGGAAACCCAAAUCGCCCAAAGCGAUUAACUGGUCGUGUGCAGCCUCACCCUGAUCACAUGGAAUAACGCAUUCAUAUCUAUUGGACUAAAGGAUAAGAAGAAAGAGCUUUGGUGAUUAACAAACUUUUGCUGCAGUUCUAUCAUCAAAAUUUUUGUUUUGGAAGCAAAGAUGUCCCAAAUUCAGGUCCAGAGUACAGCUCUUACUCUCUCCACAGGAAACCCUCUCCAAAAUAACUCACAACCAAUGAAGCCUCUUAUUCCUCAGCCUAUGAUGAGUAUUCCUUCUGCACCAGGGUGUCUGCCAUCUGAGAAUGCUGGACAUCCAGUUAAAAGCUCAUCCUUGCCAUCAUCUUCUGCUACCCCCAUUAGUGCAGCUGUAGUUCCCCACAUGGCAAACCCCAAAGAGAAAACCCCAAUGUGUCUUGUGAAUGAGUUAGCCAGGUUCAAUAAAGUCCAGCCUGUAUAUAAACUUUUAAGUGAACAAGGACCAGCUCACUCCAAGAUAUUUUCAGUACGAUUGGCUUUAGGAGAUCAGUGCUGGGAAGCUGAGGGAACCAGUAUAAAGAAGGCACAACAUGCAGCAGCUGCCAGUGCACUGGCUGAAACCACUUUGCCAAAGCCCAGUAUUCGUUCACCUCGCCACACAGGCAGGAAUUCAGUUUCACAUCUAACAAUGAUGACAUCACGAAAACAUCUUAUCUUUCAUGAAGAUCUGAGUCGGACUUUUCAACAUUCUGAAAACAGUUUAAACCAAACAGUGGAGUUAAAUGCACUCUGCAUGAAACUUGGGAAAAAACCUAUUUACAAACCCAUUGAUCCCUACCCAGGAAUGAGGCCUAAUUUUAACUAUAAUGUCAGGGCCCCAGGCCCUUAUCCAAGGUAUUAUUAUCCCUUUCCACCAGUUGGCCCAGUCCUCUACCAAAUGGAAUUAUCAAUUGGAGGACAGCAAUUUCAUGGCAAAGGAAGAACCAGACAAGCAGCAAAGCACGAUGCAGCUGCUAAAGCUUUAAAAUUUUUGCAGAAAGAACCUCUGUUAGAAAAAAAAUCAGAGAUCAAUGGUGGUGAAUCAGAUCAAAAUCUAAACAAAUCUGAAAUAAGCCAAGUAUUUGAAAUUGCACUGAAACGGAAUAUGCCUGUCAACUUUGAGGUUACUAAGGAGUCUGGCCCCCCACACAUGAAGAGUUUUGUUGUGCGAGUUUCUGUAGGAGACUUUUAUGGUGAUGGAGAGGGAAAAAGUAAAAAGAUUGCUAAGAAAAAUGCAGCGACUGCUGUCCUCAAGGAGCUUAAAAAACUACCUUCACUACCCUUGGUUGAAAAGGUCCAACCACGCAUUAAAAAGAAAUCAAAGUCAAUAGUCAAGCUUCAGACCAGCCCAGAAUAUGGUCAAGGAAUGAAUCCCAUCAGCCGACUAGCUCAAAUUCAGCAGGCAAAGAAAGAAAAGGAGCCGGAGUACACAUUAAUUACAGAGAGGGGUCUUCCUAGGCGCAGAGAGUUCAUUAUGCAGGUUAAAAUCAAUGAUCAGACUGCCGAAGGGGUGGGUCCUAACAAGAAGGUUGCUAAGCGUAAUGCAGCAGAGAAGAUGUUGGAACUAAUGGGCUUCAAAGUGCCUCCGCCACAUCCACCCAAACCUGCACUGAAAACUGAUGAGAAAGUGCCAAUGAAGAAGACAGGUGAUGCCAGGAAAGUUACGUUUUUUGAGCCUGGCUGUCCUGAAGAGGGAGCUUCAGUCUCUACAGGCCAUAAGGAUGAUGAGUUCAGAAUGCCAUAUUUGAGCCAUCAGCAGCUUCCAGCAGGAAUCCUGCCAAUGGUUCCAGAAGUGGCUCAGGCUGUGGGCGCCAAUCAAGGACAUCACACCAAAGACUUCAGUAGGCCCCCAAUUAACCCAGCCAAGGCCACAUUUACGGCAAUGAUCGCACGGGAACUGCUGUAUGGUGGCACAUCUCCAACAGCUGAGACUAUUUUGAAAAAUAACAACAGUCUUUCACACCUUCCUCUCGGACCACUUACACGUCCAUCGGAGCAACUUGAAUAUCUUUCCAGAGUACAAGGACUUGAGGUGGAAUAUAAAGAUUUCCCCAAGAACAACAAAAAUGAAUUUGUUUCUUUGAUAAACUGUUCUUCUCAGCCACCCCUCAUCAGUCAUGGAAUUGGUAAAGAUGUGGAAUCCUGCCAUGAUAUGGCUGCCCUUAAUAUAUUGAAAUUAUUGUCAGAUUUGGACCAACAAACAAAUGAUAAAACGGGAAAUGGACCAAUGUCAGUGAAAGCUGAUUAGUGCUUCUUGUCUAACCAGACAUCUUUGUCAAUAAGAUUCAUUGGAAAGCAUGCUGGGAGUCUCCACAUUAAAUGAUGUGAAAAACCAGAAGAAAACUGAAAAAUCUCUCCUAAAACCAGUUAACCCCCAAGGAGGAGAAAAGAGGGAAAAACUGAUGACUACCUUGUGGUGCGAAACAGAGCUGUGAAAAAGCAAAACAGAGAACAAUCAGAUGCGUACCUUUACAGUUUCAGUGCACUGCAGUGUCUAAAUUAAUAUCAUUGAUAACCCAUUGACAGUGUUUGCCGUUAAAUGGCUCUGAUUAAAGUGGGCUAUUCUGUUUAUUCAUGGUUGUUUGUUUCUUAGAAAUAAAUUAGUUGAUUUAAAGUUACCUAAAUCAUAUCCAGUUAUGUGGUUUUUAAUUUUUGAAAUAAAAAUCUAUACGUUAAAAGAAACUCUUUAUAAAUUAAUUUUGCUUCAGUGUUGCUACUGAUUUAAGUUGUCUGUAGAAAAGAUUUCUAUUUAUUUUCUUUGCCAAGUCCGUCAUUGGAGGUGUCAGUCUUUGAUGUAAAACUACAUUACUGGAUAUGAUGAAGCUAAAUAAAAAGUUUAAAAUGCAAAAUAAAUUUUAAUUGAGCGCUCUAACAGGAAACCAGAAACGUUACAUACAUCUCCAUGUAGGGCCUAAAGGGUUUUUGUGAUUUGUAAUGUUUGUAUUGUCAUAGUAAAAUGGGCACUAACAUUUCUAUUUCAUAUAGUCCAAGAAUGAAACCUUUUGCCAAGUUUUUGUAGUGCUUAAACUUGUCAUUGUUUACCAUACACGGUUUUUUUUUUCUCCCUAUGGAAUGUAAGUAAAACUUGUGCACAUUACAUUCAAAAAUAAACAAGUGUUGGUCCAUUUUUUUCUGCCAACCUCCCAAAUG